rnacentral:lncRNA from 1 species
CUUCUCUCGUCAUCCAUUUCAUACAUCCCAGCUUUCCUUUCAGGAACCCAGUAACCCGUGGCUGCAUGUGGCUACAGAUGGCGCCCGAACAAGUGGCCUGAAAACUAAAGGAAGAUGGUAUACUGCACGGUGUGCACGUAUUUGCCACUUGGGUGCAGAGGCCAAAAGAGAGCAUCGGGUGCCACAAAGCUGGAGUUACAGGUGGUUGCAAGCUGCCAGGUGGGGACCUCUCAGAGAGAAGAGUUCUUAAUUCUUAAGCCUUGAGCCAUCACACUGAGUCCCUGACACUCCACUUUAUGGUUAUCUUGACCUCUGAAUGAACUCAACUACUGGAAAAAAACCCAACUUGUUCCAGGAGCCAUGCCACCCUGGUAACAAUCACAAUUCCCCUGGGCAAAUAGCCAUGCUACUCCUAUCAACAGCCAGCCAAUCAGUUCUUGAUGGGAAAGUACCUAAUGCCUAAAGUAGAUUGGUUAAGCGAGCCACCAUUGUUGACAACAAGCUGAAAUCAUUACGAGCCAAUGGAAGUGCGACAAGCAAAUGUUAACCAAUCAUGUAACUACCAAGUUGGAAAGUCCCUUAUCCUGCUGCAACCAUGAUAAAUAGGCAGGGCUUUUACCAGCUUAGCACCUUCUACACCUUUCACUGUGCUGGAGAGGUUGGAGGGUCUGAACCAGAGAAGACUCUUUGCUUUUGCAUAUG